GCUUACGGCCACACCGCCUGGUUCACGCCCGAUCUCGUUUUAUCUCGGAAGCUAAGAUAGGGUGGGCCUGGUUAGUACUUGUAUGGGAGACCGCCUGGGAAUACCAGGUGCUGUAAGAU
rnacentral:rRNA from 1 species